UACGUAGGGUGCGAGCGUUAAUCGGAAUUACUGGGCGUAAAGCGUGCGCAGGCGGUUCGUUAAGUUCGAUGUGAAAGCCCCGGGCUCAACCUGGGAAUUGCAUUGGAAACUGGCGGGCUUGAGUGUGGCAGAGGGGGGUGGAAUUCCACGUGUAGCAGUGAAAUGCGUAGAGAUGUGGAGGUACACCGAUGGCGAAGGCAGCCCCCUGGGCUAACACUGACGCUCAGGCACGAAAGCGUGGGGAGCGAACAGG
rnacentral:rRNA from 1 species